rnacentral:rRNA from 1 species
GACGAACGCUGGCGGCGUGCUUAACACAUGCAAGUCGAACGGAAAGGCCCUGCUUUUGUGGGGUGCUCGAGUGGCGAACGGGUGCGUAACACGUGAGUAACCUGCCCUUGACUUUGGGAUAACUUCAGGAAACUGGGGCUAAUACCGGAUAGGAGCUCCUGCUGCAUGGUGGGGGUUGGAAAGUUUCGGCGGUUGGGGAUGGACUCGCGGCUUAUCAGCUUGUUGGUGGGGUAGUGGCUUACCAAGGCUUUGACGGGUAGCCGGCCUGAGAGGGUGACCGGCCACAUGGGGACUGAGAGACGGCCCAGACUCCAACAGGAGGCAGCAGUGGGGAAUAUUGCACAAUGGGCGGAAGCCUGAGGCAGCAACGCCGCGUGCGGGAUGACGGCCUGCGGGUUGUAAACCGCUUUCGCCUGUGACGAAGCGUUAGUGACGGUAAUGGGUAAAGAAGCACCGGCUAACUACGUG